rnacentral:rRNA from 1 species
CCUACGGGGAGCUGCCGUAGGGAAUUUUCGUCAAUGGGCGCAAGCCUGAACGAGCAAUGCCGCGUGAACGAGGAAGGUCUUCGGAUCGUAAAGUUCUGUUGAAGGGGAAAAAGAGCGGAGAGAGGAAAUGAACUCCGAUUGAUAUUACCCUUCGAGGAAGUCACGGCUAACUACGUGCCAGCAGCCGCGGUAAUACGUAGGUGGCGAGCGUUAUCCGGAAUGAUUGGGCGUAAAGGGUGCGUAGGCGGCCUGCGACGUCUGGAGUGAAAGGUACCGGCUCAACCGGUACAGGCUCUGGAAACUGGCGGGCUAGAGAGCAGGAGAGGGCGGUGGAACUCCAUGUGUAGCGGUAAAAUGCGUAGAUAUAUGGAAGAACACCAGUGGCGAAGGCGGCCGCCUGGCCUGUUACUGACGCUGAGGCACGAAAGCGUGGGGAGCAAAUAGGAUUAGAUACCCCGGGUAGUC